AUUUGCAGGCAAAAUUACAAGAUAUUUGUUCAAGUUCUAGGUCUGAUGAUUAUUUUCAAGACAGCAAAUGUGAUGAUGCAAAACAAUGUUUCUUUCUUAUAUCUUCUUUUUUAGGAGGAAAUAAUAUUCACCCAGAAAUUCACCAACAAUCUUCAAUUUCUAUCUCACUGGCUGGGAUUAUAUCACAGUCAAAAUCUUUGGUUGCAACAGAGACUGAGGCAAUUGUUAGAGCUGAAGCAAAUCCUGAAAGGGAACCUGGCCUUCUCCUCCCUGGUGAAACACGGUCCUUCUCCAUAAGAAGACGAUUCCAGUCAUCUUCAGUGAUGACCCUCUUCUGUUGAUUGAUGCUCUUCUUCUUCAGAAUGUUCUACCUCACCGGGAUUCAAAUAUUCAACAAUUACUAUGGGGAUUAUAAAAACACAAAUGAAUGAUUUUGAAAAACU
rnacentral:lncRNA from 1 species